rnacentral:rRNA from 1 species
UUGGAGGGCAAGUCUGGUGCCAGCAGCCGCGGUAAUUCCAGCUCCAAUAGCGUAUAUUAAAGUUGUUGCAGUUAAAAAGCUCGUAGUUGAACCUUGGGCCUGGCUGGCCGGUCCGCCUCACCGCGUGUACUGGUCCGGCCGGGCCUUUCCUUCUGGGGAACCUCAUGCCCUUCACUGGGCGUGUUGGGGAACCAGGAUUUUUACUUUGAAAAAAUUAGAGUGUUCAAAGCAGGCCUUUGCUCGAAUACAUUAGCAUGGAAUAAUAGAAUAGGACGUGUGGUU